CAAAUUGGAAGAGGAAGAGGAGCCAUGGACAGCAGAAGAACCUGCAAACAAGACUCUGCCAGUCUUCUGCGGUGUUGAUGCCAUAAUUGAGACUAAAUAGAAGAAUCAAGAGAGACAUUUGUGGCAAGUUACCUCCAAUGGCCACAAUAAAGCAAAUGAGGAAGCAGAGGGAUUAGAAAACACUUUUUAUUUAUACUCCAUGAAUAUUUCAAGUUCUGUUGCCUACAGUCAUCUCAAGUUCCACUUGAGCUGUAUCCUGGUUUCCAAGAUUAUUCCCAUGGCUCCUUCUACAGCCCAACCUGCAAAAGGCAUUUGGUUCCCUUCAGGCCAAAUGAUAACAGAAGAGGAAGAAAGAAUGCACAAAUAGAGGCUACAGGAGAUGGUGUCUCUUGAGGAUGUCACUGUGAAGUUCACCUGUGAAGAGUGGCAAAAUCUCAAUAAUGCUCAGAAGAUGCUAUACAGGAAUGUGAUAUUG